rnacentral:lncRNA from 1 species
CCCGCAGACGGGGUGUCCCCGAGGACUGGGAGAGGACGGAGACGGCGGGGAUGGGAAGAAGAGUCGGAGGCACAGGAAGUACUCAACAAACCCUAGCAGAAUCAACAAGAGUUCCAGCAUGCAGCUGACCACUCCCUAUACCAAAGGCUGUUUCUGAAGUGGCACCAAGUUUGUUAGAGAAGGAGCAGAGCUACAAGUCCCGGAGCCAGACCACAGA